CAAUUUGAGGAUUAAACCCAGCCCAGGUGCAUCCUGGGCUUGGCCCCAGACAUGGCAGGACACAGCGUUCCAAUGUCUGCAGCAAAAGGAAAAUAUUAAGUUACUUCAGGCCCCCCUUUGUUCCCCGGGGAGCUCCUCACCACAGACUUCAUUACUGCUCCGCACCCCACCCCUCCUGCUAAGCUGAUCUGCUCCGAUCCACCCUGCCUGGGGUUUAAACAAACAUCACAAAGGGGCCCCAAGAUUACCAGUCGGUUCCCAGAGGCACGCCCGCUUGCCACGUCACCAAUGCGAUCUGGCUGGGCAGCGGAGGAACCAGGACUCAAACCCAGACAUCUCAGCUUCAAAUCCGGGCUCCUUAUGCCAGCCACUCUGCCUCAACUUACAAACAGGCAAGCGCCGUAGCUGCUUAGCAAUGGCGAUCAGGUACCAUAUGAAGACAUUGCAGGCAUCUACAAGAUGACUCUGUCACAAAAGGACGCCUCAGCCUGUCCCGUGAAUCUUCAAUUCCCGUUUGGCCUCUCUGCAAGAUCGGUGCCUUGUCUACUCGCUGACCCCAAGAUCUGGCACCCGACAGUCCAUGCAGCUGACCGCAGUCGUGCUGUUUCCAGGACCGGUGGAAUCCUGGAGCCCUCCACAUGCUGCGGGAGGCCCUUCCUGCCCUCCCGGGGGU